UUGGUUUGGUCAUGGGAUGGAAAUGAUAUAACAAAUUUCUCUAGGGGUAAUUUGGUCAUUACAAUAAAUUAUAAGCUCAAUUCAAUUAUUUUUUGUGCUUUGAAUUUGGAACUUCAUCAAAAGUUUGAACAAAAACCCAUUAUUUUCUCUUCCUUUACUCCUACUUAAUUAUAUACCAUAUCCCAAUAUAUAAUAAUUUUAUGAUUUCAUCAUAGUGAUUUAAAUAUUUAAUAUAUUCUAUUAAUUUAUAUUCUAUUAAUUUUUAUAUUCUAUUAUGUGGAACAAUGCUUAAAUGGCCAUAAUAAUUAAUUAGGGGUGAUAUAGUAAAACGUAAUUAGUAUUAUUUAAUAUUUUUAUUAUGUAUAUGUGUUGAUUCAAGAAAAUUUGAAAACAUUUAGAAAUGUGUUGAAUGUUACAGAUGUUAAUAAUCCAUUUGGUGCUUCUUGAUUUCUCUAUAUUUGUCUCUUUUGUGUUUUUACUCUUUUGCCCUUUAAAUACAUUACUCUUCUUGUCCAAAUUUUUAUGACAUUGAUAGUCAAUUAUAUUUUUAAAAUAAUUUAAUUUUUUAAUUAUUGUGAUUUAUAAUACUUUUCUUCUAUUCCAAUUUCAGUGAUACUAAUAUAAUUUCAAAAGUCGAUCAAAUAUUUUAUAGCUUUUAAAUCUUUUAAGUUGUUAAUUAUUGUGAUUUCUAGUAUUUUUCAUGCAAUUUUUUUGAAAUAUAUAACAUAUUAAAUUGUUCUUAGAUAUUUUAACUUGUUAACUAUUGUAAUUUAUAAUAGUUUUUAUAUAAUUUUUUUUCGAAUAACAUAUGCUACUCUCCUUGUCCAUAGUUUUGUGUCGACGUUAGCCAAUUAUAUUUUUAAAAUAAUUUAAAUUUUUUAUCAUUAUAAUUUAUAAUAUUUUUUCUAUUUCAACUUAUGUGGCACAAUGCUUAAAUGACCAUAAUAAUUAAUUAGGGGUGAUAUAGUAAAAUAUAAUUAUUAUUAUUUAUUAUUUUCAUUAUGUGUAUGUGUUUAUUUAAGAAGAAUUGAAAACAUUUAGAAAUGUGUUGAAUGUUACAAAUGCUAAUAAUCCAUUUGUAACAUUUGGUGCUUCUUGAUUUCUCAACAUUUAUCUCUUAUGUGUUUUUACUCUUUUGCCCUUUGAGUAUAUGUAGCAAUUUUUAUUUUCUUUUUAAAAUGUCAUGAAAAUUUUACUCUUUUUGCCCUUUGAAUACGUUUCUCUUCUUGCCCAAAUUUUUGUGGCAUUGAUAAUCAAUUAUAUUUUAAAAAUAAUUUAAAUUUUUAAUUAUUGUGAUU
rnacentral:lncRNA from 1 species